GCGGCGGGGAGGGGAGCGGUAGCCGAGGCAAAGGGGCGCCGAGUGCAGAGCAUUGUAGACCAAGGAGCCAUGGAUAGGAGAAGUGUGGGUGAAACAGAAAAUGGCAGUGCUUUGCUUGACCUGAAGAAGCUGCUGCCUGCAAAUGCCCCCAUCGCCAUACAAAAGAAGAACUCUUGCAUGUAAAAGAACUCCCCCAUUCUAAACGGAGGCCUUCUUGCCUUUCUGAAAAAUAUGACAGUGAUGGUGACGGGGACUCUGAGAAGUGGCAUGCCUCUCUUUGCCCAGCUUCAGCAGAGCUCACCAGUGGAAAGUCUGAAGAAAGAGUUAGAUACAGACCGGCCUUCCCUGGUGUGCAGGAUAGUAGAUCCACCAGAGAAUGUGAAAGAAAAUGACUUAGAUGUUGUUCUCAGCUCUCAGAGAUGGAGCUUUGGAGGGGGCUGCCACGUGACAGCUGCUGUUAGCUCCUGGUGCUCAGGAAGUCCGUUAGAAAAAGACAGUGAUGGGCUUUGUCUGCUUGGUGGAGGUAGGAUUGGCAGUGGGAGGAUAAUCUCUGCCUGGACCUUUGAGAAGGAUCACCAUCUUAGCGAUAAAGCCCUGAGGUACUUGAGAGACAAGAAACAGAGAGAGGGACUUCAAGGACAAUCGUUUCAGGAGAGAGUUUGGGGACAGUAAGCAUGUCCUUGGUGAGCAUAGAAGAAAUUAUUCUUACACAGGAGAGAACCAGAAUGGUUCUCAGCUGGACCCACAAGUCAGUCUGAAACCAUCAAACUGACUGGCUUCAGUGAUAACAUGCUAGAAGAAGAUCACAAAGGGAGAAAAAGAAUAAGGCGAUGGACAGCCUCUGUGAAGGAAGGUAUAGUAGAGUGCAAUGGAGGUGUGGCUGAAGAGGAUGAGGUAGAGGUCAUCCUUGCACAGGAGUCUGUGGCUGAUCAAGAAGUGCCAAGGAAUGCCAUCUUGCCUGAGCAGUCCCCAGGAGAAUUUGACUUUAAUGAGUUAUUUAACCUUGAUAAGGUGUCAUGCUUGGCUUCGAUGAUAGAAUAUGUUUUGGGAGAAGAGUCAGUCUCUGCCAGUUAGUUCAGUAGGUGGUUCUCUAACCGGAACAGAUCAGGAAGCUGAUCCAGCAGUCUUGGGUCAACACCACAUGAAGAGCUGCAGAGACUUGCAGGUCUGGAGCAAGUCUCUUUCCUGGACAGAACUUGGGGAAUUACUUUGCUCCUAUACCAUUGGAAGACCAUACUGAAAAUAAAGUGGAUAUUUUAGAAAUGCUACAGAAAGCCACAGUGGAUUUGAAAACUCUUCUUUCCAGCCUUUCUGCAAAUAAAAACUUAAAGAAAGCUCACAUUCAGGGGUUGUGCUUUCAGCGGAGGAGAUAGAAUCAGGACUGAAGGGCUUGAAGGUGGACCAGCAAGUGAAGAAUUCAACUCCCUUUAUGGCAGAACACCUAGAAGAGACCUUGAGUGCUAUAACCAACAAUCGGCAACUCAAGAAAGAUGGAGACAUGACUGCGUUCAACAAGCUGGUGAACAUGAUGAAGGCAAGUGGGACUUUGCCUUCUCAGCCCAAAGUCAGCCUAAACCCUGAAAGCCAUAUGAUGUCCCCUGCUGAGAUUCCAAGCUAGCCUGUCCCUAAGAAUAUCCUGCAGGAACUUCUGGGUCAACCAGUUCAGAGACCUACUUCUUCCAAUCUUCUGAGUGGCAUUUUGGGGAGUGUGAAACCUACAACAUCUUUACUGGGCCAAAGAGCACCCUCUUCUCCCUUGUCACAGGUGUUUCAAACUUGAGCAGCCUCAGCAGACUACCUUCGUCCAAGAAUACCAUCACCAAUUGGUUUUACACCAGGACCACAGCAGCUACUCAGAGAUCCAUUCCAAGGCAUGCGUAAACCCAUGAGACCCUUCAUGGCCCAGAUGAGCCAGCUGGAGUUGCAACAGGGAACUUUAGAGGGGCUGGUCUUACCACAUGACCUUGCUGUACAGACAGCAAACUUCUACCAGCCUAGUUUUGGCAAACCACAGGCGGACAGAACCAGAGAUGAAUUCAGAAACAGCCAAUGACCAAGACAGCAGCACCAGUGCAUCGAGGGAAUUCCUCUUCCCCACCCCUGCUGCCUCCAUCACAAGCAUGCUUUCUCCUUUCUGUACCCUUACCUCAGUGAUUUGUAAGAUGUACAAGAGCAAAGAGGAAAGCAAGAAGGAGCCGGCAUCUGAAAAAGCAGCUCUUGGUGACAGUAAAGAGGAUACGCAGAAGGACAGUGAAGAGAAUCUCCUGUCAUCCAGCUCUGUACCCAGUUGCUGAUUGAGACUCUUCUCCCACUACAAAUUCAAAAUUGUCAGCAUUACAGAGGUCUUUGUGUUCCACGCCACUGUCCCAGACCAACCAUUACACCAAAGAACAAGAUUAUUGACCUAAAGCAACUGGGAGAAAAACACCCACCUUGGUAUCCCCAGUUCCCACAACACCUUUUCUCCGCCCUGUCAACCAAGUUCCCCUUGUCCCACUUGUCCCUAUAGUUUGGCCUGCUCACCAGCUUCACCCACGUUGGUACAGAGGAUGCUGGCCCAGGGAGUACAUCCACAGCAUCUUCCAAGUUUGCUCCAAGCUGAUGUGCUUCCUCCUGUGAUGGACUUGACUCAUUUACAGGGAAUAUGUGGCCCUAUCCUGGGUCAGCCCUUUUACACUUUCUUUACCUGCUGCUAGUCACUGUCUCUUAAACCCUCGUCCUGGAAUACCUUUGCAUCUGGCAAUGGUGCAACAGCAGCUACAGCACUGAUUUCUGCAUCCUCUAGGCUCUGGUUCCUAGGCAGCAGUUGUCACCAUUCAGACAACCACUCAGAACAUGCCCAGCUGGUUAGGCCUGCCGCACAUGCACUCCCAGCUGAAGCAUUGCUCCAACCAGAGGAGCAGCUCCCCCAUGGGACUCGCCUAAUGGUUUGGCUCAGGUGUGCUACAGCAAUCCCUGCCCUCCGUGCUCACCAAAGUUGUCAGUGUAGAUGAAUUGGAAUACUGACAGUGAGCAGGGCACACAGAUUCAACUAAGCCUGGACCUGUGGUGGCACCCUGGGCAGGACUCUGUUUCCUCAUCUUGGGUUGGUUUAUGGGCUUUUACUUUGGAGCACUCUGUGUGAAGUUGCUUGGGGGAACCCAUGAACCUGGUGUGGUCCACAUUAUGAUGGAAGGAACUUAACCAGUCAAGAGGAGUGUACAUUGUCUGAAUACAGAAUGCACAAUGUUGUCAAUCCUGGAAAUGUUUUUUCUUUUUGUAAGAUAUGUGAAUGAAGUGUUGGUGUCCUCACCAAGAGGUGGCACCUAACGGUUCUGAGGAAAUAAAUGUAUAGACCCUUAUGUACAGACCUGUGUAUAAACAACUUUUGUAUAUACAUAUAGGAUAGCUUUUUUGAACUUAUACAGCUGUACAUAAAAGUAGCUAAUAUUAAUUAAGCUUGUGUCAACAGUUUGGAUUUUUUUCACUUGUACAUUUGGGAUUUUCUUUUGGUUGAUUAAAAUUGCAUAUGCUAAGUAUGUGAAUGAAGAA